rnacentral:rRNA from 1 species
UACGAAGGGUGCUAGCGUUGUUCGGAAUCACUGGGCGUAAAGCGCGCGUAGGCGGCCGAUCAAGUCAGGGGUGAAAUCCUUGGGCUUAACCCAAGAAUUGCCUUUGAAACUGUUCGGCUGGAGUAUUGGAGGGGAGUGCGGAAUUUCUAAUGUAGCGGUGAAAUGCGUAGAUAUUAGAAGGAACACCGGUGGCGAAGGCGGCACUCUGGACAAUUACUGACGCUGAGGCGCGAAAGCGUGGGGAUCAAACAGG